rnacentral:rRNA from 1 species
UACAGAGGUCUCAAGCGUUGUUCGGAAUUACUGGGCGUAAAGGGUGCGCAGGCCGCGCGGGCAGUCAAAUGUGUAAUCCAGGGGCUCAACCCCUGAACUGCGCUUGAUACUUCCGCGCUCGAGCUUUGGAGAGGAGUCUGGAAUUUCUCGGUGUAGCAGUGAAAUGCGUGGAUAUCGAGAAGAACACUUAGGGCGUAGGCAAGACUCUGGGACAAAUGCUGACGCUCAUGCACGAAGGCUAGGGUAGCGAACGGG